UACAGAGGUCUCAAGCGUUGUUCGGAUUCAUUGGGCGUAAAGGGUGUGUAGGUGGCGCGCUAAGUCGGGGUGUGAAAUUUCGGAGCUUAACUCCGAAACUGCAUUCGAUACUGGCGUGCUUGAGGACUGGAGAGGAGACUGGAAUUCAUGGUGUAGCAGUGAAAUGCGUAGAGAUCAUGAGGAAGACCAGUGGCGAAGGCGGGUCUCUGGGCCGAUACUGACGCUGAGGAGCGAAAGCGUGGGGAGCGAACAGG
rnacentral:rRNA from 1 species